UCUGGUUAGGUUUUUAAUUUACAAAAAACAAAUAUGACUGACUUCUGUGUUCAAUAACAUUGUAGCUUAUACCUAAUAUAUUUGUUAGCCUUUAAAAUGCCACCCACUCCUUGUUAAUAUAAUAAUUCAUUUCUUUGUGUGAAUGAGUUUUACACAUAACUGCCUUUCAAAAGCAUGGCCUCUGUGAUGGGACAUGACAUCUCAAAGCAACAACUGCUUGGUUACCCUGAUGAGCUGCCAUAGUAAUGAAUGGUCUAGUUAUGGCUACCACAAUGCAAGCAGAACUGAAUGAUGAUGGAGUACUCAAGUCUUGGUUCAUCAUGCCUUCAAAAAAAUCUGCUCCAUGCUUGGAAUAUCUUAGUCCAUCUCCAAUCUCUCUCCUGAAGGUAAGAGCCCAGUUAAUGUUAUGCUGAUUUUUCAUCCCAGGUACCAGGCACCAAAAGGAGUUGGAUGAUGAAAGAAAUGCUCAAGUCCCACCAUGUGAGUCCUUUGAAGAGCUAAAAAUCUUCUGCUUUCCAAAGCCCAAAGAGAGCUGGGGAGGAAGAAGCCCAUGGAAGAAGCUGGAGAUAUGAAGAAGGAGACCUUAUAUGCUGCUUCAGGGCCCUUGACUGGAAACUGGGAUAGAGGGAGAGACUGAGUUCCCCUACAAACCAUUAAGGAAAGACCCUUGGGAUGAGCAUCAGAAGUCCUAGUGACCCUAGAGUCAGGCUGAUGGCCUAGUACAAGGAGAAAACCCAUUCUUCCACAAAGGCUAACAAGUAGGACAGUGGAAAGCACCUUGUGUCCUGACAGACAACACAAAGUUUCUCUGGAACCCCAACGUUUGUUGGUGUUCUUUAAUUGAUCCAAAUUAGGCGGUUCAUCAUCUACAAACUUCAUAGCUUUUAAGAGUCAUAGUUCCACUUAAGAACUGAGUAAGGAAGAACAUGGUUGAUUGAAUUAUGUGUGAAAUGCU